CAACAAACUAGCUUGACGAAGCGAAAAGCACUUCCGCUGUGCCUGUUUGUUGUUUUUAUCAAUUAAGCGGA
ncrna:unclassified sequences int-alpA RNA